rnacentral:rRNA from 1 species
GAUGAACGCUAGCUACAGGCUUAACACAUGCAAGUCGAGGGGCAUCAUGACGAUAGCUUGCUAUUGUUGAUGGCGACCGGCGCAAGGGUGCGUAACGCGUGAGCAAUCUGCCCGUGUCAGGGGGAUAAGCGAUGGAAACGUCGUCUAAUACCGCAUAACGUAGCAGUACCGCAUGAUACAGUUACCAAAGAUUUUAUCGCUGAAAGAUGGGCUCGCGUCCGAUUAGGUAGUUGGUGAGGUAACGGCCCACCAAGCCGACGAUCGGUACCCGGACUGAGAGGUUGAUUAGCCCACAUUGGGACUGAGACACGGCCCAGACUCCUUACGCGAGGCAGCAGUGGGGAAUAUGCAACAAUGGGCGCAAGCUUGAUGGCACCAACNCCGCGUGAGGGAAGACGUUUUUCGGAUGUAAAACCUCUGUCUUGGUGACGAAGAAGUGACGGUAGCCAAGGAGGAAGCCACGGCUAAAUACGUGCCAGCAGCCGCGGUAAUACGUAGGUGGCAAGCGUUAUCCGGAAUUACUGGGUGUAAAGGGAGCGCAGGCAGGUCAGCAAGUCAGCGGUGAAAUUUAUGGGCUCAACCCAUAACCUGCCGUUGAAACUGUUGAUCUUGAGUGGAGUAGAGGUAGGCGGAAUUCCGAGUGUAGCGGUGAAAUGCGUAGAUAUUCGGAGGAACACCAGUGGCGAAGGCGGCCUACUGGGCUCUAACUGACGCUGAGGCUCGAAAGUGUGGGGAGCAAACA